UACGUAGGGUGCAAGCGUUAAUCGGAAUUACUGGGCGUAAAGCGUGCGCAGGCGGUUUUGUAAGACAGGCGUGAAAUCCCCGGGCUCAACCUGGGAAUGGCGCUUGUGACUGCAAAGCUGGAGUGCGGCAGAGGGGGAUGGAAUUCCGCGUGUAGCAGUGAAAUGCGUAGAUAUGUGGAGGAACACCAAUGGCGAAGGCAGCCCCCUGGGAUAACACUGACGCUCGUGUACGAAAGCGUGGGUAGC
rnacentral:rRNA from 1 species